GCGUCUGUAGCCUAGUUGGUAAAGAGCACUCUAGCAUGUGUCUCAGCUCUUGGCUGAGGUCGUGGGUUUGACUCCCAUCAGACACA
rnacentral:tRNA from 1 species